CAGCAAUUUUUAUAAUAACUUCUUAAUUCAACUCUAGUUUAUGCCUGGUAAAGAAGAAAAAUGCCAUAACUUCUAAAAGAAGAAAUGCAAAGAAAAUGCAAAAACAGAUCACGUGGGUUGCAAGUGGGUCGCAGCACAUGGAAGCUUCGUGGAUAGAGACUUCAGGUUUCUGGGAAUGGCCAGUGGAUGUUUCCUCUGGUCAGUUGCCCAGGGACAAUGUGAAUCUCUUUCCUGCUCUGCCGUGGCCCACACAGCACCUGAGAUGGGUGUGACCUGCCAAGAUGUCAAUCAACCGGCUGAGUGCAAGAUUUCAAAAAGCAAGACUCUGCCCUUGAAACCUUAUCCCUGCCUUUGAUGUACCCCCUUAAAUAAACCACCAGAGCCAUUUUCCCUUUGUCUAGUUCCAGGGCUUCGCAUUAUGUAAAUAUAUUUCUGAGUAUCUGUGUUUUGUUAUUUAUUAAUUAUCUGAGAUUGUAAGUUUUAUGGUGGCUUGGAUUCCCCUGGACAGAGAGAACCCCUGCAAAGAGACGCUGGCCAUCAUUCCCCCUUGAAAAUGCUGAUUUUUACCAAGAAUAAUAUGAUCCUUAGAAAGUCUUUUUCUAGCUAAAUGAUCGGCUUCUGUUUCAAUCCC
rnacentral:lncRNA from 1 species